AAAAGGAGCCAUAUCACCCUACAACUCAUAACACACUAAAGCUAAGAGGGUGUGAGCCUGGUCAGUGCCUGGAUGAGAGAUCUCCUGAGAAAAACUAAGGUUGCUGCUGGAA
rnacentral:rRNA from 1 species